rnacentral:rRNA from 1 species
AUGAACUUGUUCCUGGGAUUCAGAAGGGAGCACGUGCCAUGGAACUUCAAGAAGACGGAGAACCAUGUGUACCUCCAUGUCGUGCUUUGGCAGAAGCUGGAUGCCGACGAGUCAGAACCUGCUGAAGAAGCCACUCUGCUCACCAUUGUCUCAUCAACUAUGAAUAUGGUGUAUGGUGUACUCACAUCCAUGCCAUCUAUUGCCACAUUUGCAGACUUUGACAGUUUUGGUGUUGCACCUAUAUGUAACCCUGAAAAAAUAUUCCAAGAAUCUUCUUUGAUAUUAUUUAUGAUAUUUUCAUAA